CCUACGGGGGGCAGCAGUGGGGAAUUUUCCGCAAUGGGCGAAAGCCUGACGGAGCAACGCCGCGUGAGGGAGGAAGGCUCUUGGGUUGUAAACCUCUUUUGUUAGGGAAGAAAAAAAUGACGGUACCUAACGAAUCAGCAUCGGCUAACUCCGUGCCAGCAGCCGCGGUAAUACGGAGGAUGCAAGCGUUAUCCGGAAUUAUUGGGCGUAAAGCGUCCGCAGGUGGUCAUUCAAGUCUGCUGUUAAAGGCAGAAGCUUAACUUCUGUUAGGCAGU
rnacentral:rRNA from 1 species